UUGUAUAUUAGUUGCAUAUUGUAUAAGAAGAAUAUCUUGUUGAUGUAGUCUUAUUAUUUAAUGUUCCAUAUGUUUUUAUAAUCAUAUUGCCCAUUUAACAUUUGUACAUGAAUUUUAAUCAAAGUAUUUUUGCAUAAUCUUCAUAAGCAUAUAUGUAAGGAUAUAAUAUAGUACUUUUUUUAUACAUACACAAAUUAUAAUCUUUGUAUUCAUACUAUUUCUUUACAUGUAUAAAGGUAUGUAUGUAUGUAUGUAUGUAUGUAUGUAUGUGUGUAUGUAUGUAUGUAUGUAUGUAUAUGUGUAUAUAUGUAUGUAUGUAUGUAUUUUUUUCUCUUUUUUUUUUAUUCAUCUUUUAUUUUAUUUAGUGUUCUAUUCAUUUUUAUUUUCCUUGUUAUUCUUGUUUUAUUGCUUAGGACACAUACAUAUUGAAAAGCAAAAUUUUCAUCAUUUGUUUUGUGAUAUAUAUAAUUGCGUCCACAUGUAUAUUUGUUAAUAGAAAACUUUUUUUUUUUUUUCAUGCACAUAUUAUUUUAUACGCCCUAUAUAAUGUAUGUGAAUUAUACAUAUAUCAGAUUUUCUAUUUAUAUAAUAUGCAUGUGUAGUUGCAUAAAGAGGAUUUUACAUCUUCUUAUUUAAUAUUUACAUAUUUAUAUUAUUAUAUAUUUUAUUUCUUAUACUUUUUUAAUUUUUUAAUUUACCUGUUUUUUUUUCUUCUUUUUUUUUAUUUAUGGUAUAUUCAAGAAUACAGUACUUUAUAGAUUUUAAUUCAUCUAUUAUUUCUUAUAUAUACCAUCUGAGUUUUUAUAAUAUAUAUAUAUAACAUGCGCAUUUAUUUAUACUUAUAUAUUUAUAUACAUAUAAUAUAUAUAUAGAUAUAUAGUAAUAGAAAAAACAUAUAUAUUUUAAUGUAUAAGCAUUUUAAAAUAUUGGAAGACUAUACAUGGUAUUGGUAAGCAUUUAUUUAUUUUUAUUUAUUUAUUUCUACAUGUAUUUUUGUUGCACUUCAUAUAUGUAUAUCUCGGUCUUAUUUUAAUUUUAUUUAUUUACAUUAAACGUAAGAGUGCAAUUUUGUGAGACACGAUUUGUAUUAGAUUUAUUUAAAUUAUUUUUAUAUUAAAUUAUAUUUUUUAAAGAGUAUAUAUAUUUACAACGUUGUAUAAGAAUUGAGAACUAAUUAUAUACAAAGCAAAAGAAAAGAAAAAUAACA